rnacentral:lncRNA from 1 species
CCAUUUCAUUUCAUCUUCAAGGCGUACAUCAAAAUGAUUCAAGGUGGUGUAUCUGGUAUUGGAAUACAAAGAAGAUGAUGAUCAGUAGGAAACAAUAGCAGCACACACAGCAACAGCAGUUCAACAACACAAGAGUAACCCAGUAACAGCGGGAAUAACAGAAAAUCCAGGAGACAAACCAAUAAAGAAGUAUCCAGUUGCCACAAAUAACUUCUGAUUUUUAUCCCUCAAGAAAAAGAAGCUUGAAGCUUUAAUGAACAAUAGCAGUUGAUGCUAAUUGUUAACAGUGAAUAGAAACAAAUUUGUUUUUUUCAGUUUCUAACUUUCAAAACUCAAAAGUUCUUAAGAUUCAAAAGUCUUUUUUCUUUCUUCCCUCUAGUACUGAAUAUUUUUUCUCUCUAAAUUACAGUCCCCCUUUAAGUGUUAAAUGAGUCUUAAUAUAUACCCAAAGCAAGACUCUUUCCUUUAUUCUUUUAACUAUUAACUUUUGCCAUCAUUACUAACUAUUUUACCUCUUUUACUUUCUAGCACAUAUUUUUCUAACUAUGUCUCUUUUAACCUUUUAUUAUUACAUAUACUAUUUCUGAUUUUAAUUAAGCAAAAAGUAGUCAAUACGGGUCUCACAGUCCCCCUUUCAAUGGUCAAAGAAGACCACAUUAUUACAUCCCUCUUUACAUAAUUAUGUCUUGUCCCCCACCAUAUUAUUUUAAUAAUACUUUAGUGACUAGUGGACAAAAUUAGUAAAUUAAAUAUCUGUUUAAAUUUUUGAAUUCCAAAAAUACCAUAAAAUUACUGAAGAUUACUAUUCUACUGCUGUCAUCUAUAACCAAUUUACCUAAAUAAAUUAACCAAAAUAUAGAAACUAUAACCAAUUCUUAAUCAAAUUUAAUCAACAAAUUCAACUUAUAUGAUGAACAACAAAGAACCAACAACAUUUUAUUUUGACUGAACAACAUUUUUAACAACAAACCUACUUUCAGAUUCAACAACAAUAACAAACAAGUGACAUCAAAUCACUAAACUCAGACUCAAAUUAGACUUAACAGAUCAAAUAAUCAAAUUCAAAUCACUAAACUCAAUAAUCAAUUAAACUUCAAAUUAAAUCUAACAAUAUUGCAACCAAGAUGAAAGAUUUAUUAAAUUAACACAUUUCUAUAUUAAAACUAAAUUCUUUUAAGUAAAUAAAAGCACACUGAAGAAAUAAACAAGAAAAUGAUAAACAACGUACAAGAAAAUAAUCAAACAUAUACUGAUUUUAGAUCCGAAAAUAUCAAGCAAAAUACAGACAAAAAUGAAACUUAAACCAACUAACCGGAUCGAAACAACGACGAACUCGAACAGAAACAGAUCUGCCCAGAAAUUUUGAUACCCAAAAUAACUCGAAUCUUCCCGGAAUCUCAACAACGACCUCGAGACUUCAACAACUAGUUCCGAGAAGAUCUUCACGAGCGAAUUCCAACACGGACUCAAACUAAUAGAUCUUCUAGCAGUAGAACACGAGUGUUGUUAGUGUAUGACUGUUUCUGCUGGUUCGAAGAAGAAGAAAAAAGAUGAAGAAGCUGGGUGGUCGUUUGAACGAGCUGGAGCAGCUGACUGAAGAAGAUGGUCGUUUGGAGCUUGGUGUAGCGGCAACUAUGGAGUUUUGGUGGUCGACGAGACUAAGCUGGGCUGCUGGUUCGAGGGGACAGUGGGGGUCGUUUGGCUAUUGUGCGACGCUGGAAUGAAGGUGGUCGACGAUUAGAGGUCUACUGGACGAAAAUGGCAGAUUGGGGCUGCUGUACGUCGUGAGAUGAAGCAGCAGCACUGUUGAAGAAGACGCAGCAACAGCUGUUCGUCUAGUGGGCUGGAGGUUUGUUGAUGUUGGUUUGAUGAAGAAGAAGAGAAUGGGGGUUGGUUCACGUUGUUGGCUGGAGGAGGAUGACGAGGAAGAAGACGAGAAGGGCAUGGAAGGGUUUGGAGAUGGAGGAAAAAGAUGAUGAAUAUUGGCGGCUAUGCCUUGAGAGGAUUAGGAUUUUUUUUGUUAG